CAAUCGGAAGCACUUGGCAAGAAGCGUCCUGCAAACAAGGACACGGCAGGCCCAUCACAACAGUCUCAAAGUUCUUACCCAAGGAGGAAGAGGAGGAGAAGAAAUAGUUCUAUUGAAUAUCAAGACUAUGACGACAAUGAUGAUGCACAUGAUAGUGACAAACAAUUUGUUCCAGAUGAACAUCACAGAGAAAUCAAGCCAAGGAAGGCGAGAAAUAGGGGUACUGUUGGAGGUUCGCAUAGUCCAUCAACACCACAUUUAAGUGGGGGAUUUUUUGACAAUAAUGUACAACCAAGUAAGGAAGAACAAGGUUUAUCUCCUGUGUUGACUAGUGGAACUAAAAGGCUUUCGUGGGGUAGGGGUGGUGCCCGCAGUAACAAUAGGCAUGGCAAGGUAUAGGAUGUCACGAUUAAAAAUGCCCAACGUAUCCGCUUAGCCAAGUUAGUUGACUUUCUCCACAACAUGGAGGAAAAUGGUGAUGAGUUUGCAGCUUUGCAAAUGGCAUCAAAAGAGGAAAAGUGGGGUUGCAAGAUGUCAAUGAUUCCCACAACCAUAACUCAGUUCUCCAACCAUGUAACGAUAAACAGUCUCAAGUUGUUGAUUUGUUACAAGUCGAAUUGCAUAGAUUGAACAGACAAGAUGCUGCUCCAGGGGUUGCUGUAGCCAGCACCUGCAUUUCAAAUGGCGAACGCUUGAUUCUAUCUUACCCACGAAAGGAAGCCAUGUAAAGUAUAAUUGCUCUUCCUAUGAGUGGACUCACGGCCAAGAGCUUCACCAUACAGGCAAGAACAAGUGAGUUCUAAAUGCCAUGCCCUGGAAUCUGGAUAUAUUGUUAACCAACCGGAAGAGAUACGCCAAUUCGAGAUACCACAUACGUGAAGAAUGCCUGUAGUUUUACAGAUCCUUUCUUUUACACUAUAGUUUAAGUGAUCCUUUACAAAUUACAAUUCUUUUCAUACUGCCGAUUUAUGUAAAUAGACUGGUAUAUUAGGAUAAAUUAAUACCCCUCUUUAGGAAUGGGCAUAAGUUGAUUAUAGAUGCAGGCAAAUAAUUUGUGUUUAUUAAGAAACAGUUCCUAAUUUUCUUUCCUAUCAUAUUAUCAUACAAUCAUACAAAUUUUAUUGGAACGGUUUGGUCCGGUCUAGUCUGGUGUCUUGAUUGGUCUGGUUUGGUCUGAUUUUUCUGUCAAACCAUAUCAAAUCGGAUCGUGUGCAGCCCUAUAUUGAAAAAUUCUAAAGGGCAAGUUUAUAAAUGAUGUACAUUUGUCAUAAUGCUAUUGCUUUUAAAAUUAUAUACUACUAGAUAAUCUCCGUGUGAUGCAUGGUUUUUUUUCAUUUUGAUGUAAAAAACAAAUAAAUUGAAUAAAUCCGGCAUAAUAUUACAUUAAUAU